GACGUCAUAGGGCUGCGCUCUUGCAUCUGUUGUGAUUCGGAUGAAGACGGCACAAAGUGUCCAAACGCACAGAAAAACAACUGAAGAAACAGCCAAGAUCCAUGUGACUCACUAUUAUUAAGAUGGAGUUUAUUAAAGAGGAGAGUGAAGACAUGAGGUUUGAAGAAGCUUUCAGAGUCAAACAUGAAGAUACUGAGGAACAAACAGACGUGAUGGGGCUGAAAGAGGAAAGUGUAGAACUGAAUGACAUACGAGAUAAAAAUCAGUAUAAGAAACAUGAUUUCAUAACUGGACAAACAUCAUUUAGUUGUUCACACACUGAAAAAACUUUUUAAAAAUUAAAUAAAGUGCAUUCACUACAAUAUAUAUAUAUAUAUUUUUUUAAUUUAAAGCGGAACAAAUCGCUCAUUUAUUUACGGUGAUAUCACACCUGGGGAGUCGGGACACCUAACACGCGCGUUUUAAAGCGCGCCAGAAUCUCGAGCAGCACGAGUAUGAUGAGUACGCUGUGACUGAUGCUUGUGUGGCAAUUUUCUGGUGAUUUUAAACAUGUCCAAAAGAAGAAAUUUGACCUGGAAGGGCAGACAGGCUAUUUAAGGAGAAACGGAAAGAAAGGUUUUGUAAUCUCAACUCCGACAGGUAUGUUUAAUCACAACUCGAGGCUGUGGUAAAUGUGUGCAAUAUUAAACGACACUGACGCACUGGACAGCUUCGCAUGAAGUAAUUGAGCGAGGAGGGUGCGAUAUUUAUCAUGUACUAAUAUCCUAACUGUUGUUUUAAUGAUGUGCAAGCUGACAUUUUGUAAUUUUGCAAAAAAACAAACAAACACAUCAUGAGAGUUUUUCAGUGCUGGUUGAAAGCUAUCAGAUUACAAUAUAAUUCAAGAUAUGGGGGCAAAAAUGCCCUGUAAGAAAUUUUAUAUAGUUAAGUAAUGUCUAAGUGGCCCAUUCAUAAAGACAAUGCCUGCGUCCCAAUCUGCAUACUAUCCAUCCUAAAUUCUAUGUGAUAUUAGUAAUUUUCAAUACUAUUUAGGGCAGAUAGGGUGGAUAGAAUGCACAUUGGAAAGCAGGGAAUCAAUAGCUUCGUUUCUGAACGAGUCAGCCGUUCUGAAUGAUCAAUGGAUCUGAAUGAGUCAAUGGAUCACUCAUUAAGACGGAGACUUGCUGCCACCUACUGGUGGCUGUAGUGUCAUGUUUAUUUAUCCAUGACAGGUUUAAAACAACCAAGGUGCUCAAAAUCUCAAAAAAUCUCAACAACACACUAUGCAAAAUAUGGUAAUUAUCACUAUCAAAAAAAUAAAUAAAAAAUACAUUUUGUGUCAAUAUUGCACACCCCCUAAAAUAACCUAGCAUCAUCUUAAAAAAAAGUUUUCCUAGAAUUUUUUUGUUUGUAUGGUUAAUAUGAAUGUAAUUGUGAGCACACUAGGGUUUAACAAAAGGUAAUUCGGCCCGCACAAGGGGACAUUUUCUCCGAUCCGGCCCUCAACCUUAAAUGAGUUUGACACCCCUGCUAUAGACUGUGAAGUAAAAUACACUGUCAAGCUCCAAAAAAGUAUGAAAGACUAGUCCAUCUGUCAUCAGUGUUUCAACCGUAACAUUAUGAAGCGACGAGAAUACUUUUUGUACGCAAAAAAAAUGAGGACUUUAUUCAACAAUUAGCUGAACGCAAGCAGCGUACGGUCUUCUGUGUUAACCGCGCCACAAGAACACGUUUUCUACGUGUAUUUACGCUUUGAUUUGAACGAAAACAGCACAUUUUGUGCAGCACGGCUGACAGAAGUGCUUACCCAACAUGGUUUCUUCCAUUCAGACGGCCCAUACUAUGCUUAAAUACAUUGGGUUUAAAACAAUUCAGGUUUGGUCACUGGCGUAUCACAAGCAGGUGAGUUAUUUGUUAUAUUGUGUAAUCCAAUCUGAAAUAAAUACUUUAAAUCCAACUUAAAUGUGUAUUGUGGUUAUUCAGGGUUGG